UGGGCUUAGCCCCUGGAACAUGCGGUGGCAGACCCUGUUGACGCACCUGUGGCUAAUUUGAAGAGGGCUGAAGUGGAGUAUUUAUGCUGCGGCUGGCAAACACUCCGGUGCCUGAGUGUUAACCUAGAAUGGUUUUCAGCCGUCUCCCAGCGUGUAGCCUGUGGAUACAAGUCUCCGAGUGAUCUCCGCUCCGGUCAGCCUCCCGAGGAACAGUUACUCCCUCUGACGCCUCAGGUAGUACCUGUUGGAAGCCAGUACCCUCGCCCCUGGAUGAAUCGAGCUCUCCGUUUGCCAACCGUCCGCUACAGCCGCUCUUACCUGCCCGUCCUCCAACGUGCUCCGCUCGCCGGAUUAGCGAGCUCUGGACCUCAGUCCUCCGUCGCAACCUCAGGCAACAAUCAAACCCAUUCCACCCCUUAUCCAAUUGAUGACCUUGCAGUUCCAACCCCGUAUCCAGAUCUCCCCACCACUUCUCUUUAUUUAAUAAACUUUAUUAUUGUGA